rnacentral:rRNA from 1 species
AUACGGAGGAUCCGAGCGUUAUCCGGAUUUACUGGGUUUAAAGGGAGCGUAGGCGGACUAUUAAGUCAGCUGUGAAAGUUUGCGGCUCAACCGUAAAAUUGCAGUUGAUACUGGUCGUCUUGAGUGCAGUAGAGGUAGGCGGAAUUCGUGGUGUAGCGGUGAAAUGCUUAGAUAUCACGAAGAACUCCGAUUGCGAAGGCAGCUUACUGGACUGUAACUGACGCUGAUGCUCGAAAGUGUGGGUAUCAAACAGGAUUAGAUACCCUGGUAGUCCACACAGUAAACGAUGAAUACUCGAUGUUUGCGAUAUACGGCAAGCGGCCAAGCGAAAGCAUUAAGUAUUCCACCUGGGGAGUACGCCGGCAACGGUGAAACUCAAAGGAAUUGACGGGG